rnacentral:rRNA from 1 species
UACACUCCUACGGGAGGCAGCAGUGGGGAAUAUUGCACAAUGGGCGCAAGCCUGAUGCAGCCAUGCCGCGUGUAUGAAGAAGGCCUUCGGGUUGUAAAGUACUUUCAGCGGGGAGGAAGGCAAUACGGUUAAUAACCGUGUUGAUUGACGUUACCCGCAGAAGAAGCACCGGCUAACUCCGUGCCAGCAGCCGCGGUAAUACGGAGGGUGCAAGCGUUAAUCGGAAUUACUGGGCGUAAAGCGCACGCAGGCGGUCUGUCAAGUCGGAUGUGAAAUCCCCGGGCUCAACCUGGGAACUGCAUUCGAAACUGGCAGGCUUGAGUCUUGUAGAGGGGGGUAGAAUUCCAGGUGUAGCGGUGAAAUGCGUAGAGAUCUGGAGGAAUACCGGUGGCGAAGGCGGCCCCCUGGACAAAGACUGACGCUCAGGUGCGAAAGCGUGGGGAGCAAACAGGAUUAGAUACCCCGGUAGUCCCAUGA